AUUGAACGCUGGCGGCAUGCUUUACACAUGCAAGUCGGACGGCAGCACAGAGAAGCUUGCUUCUUGGGUGGCGAGUGGCGAACGGGUGAGUAAUAUAUCGGAACGUACCGAGUAAUGGGGGAUAACUAAUCGAAAGAUUAGCUAAUACCGCAUAUUCUCUGAGGAGGAAAGCAGGGGACCUUCGGGCCUUGCGUUAUUCGAGCGGCCGAUAUCUGAUUAGCUAGUUGGUGGGGUAAAGGCCUACCAAGGCGACGAUCAGUAGCGGGUCUGAGAGGAUGAUCCGCCACACUGGGACUGAGACACGGCCCAGACUCCUACGGGAGGCAGCAGUGGGGAAUUUUGGACAAUGGGCGCAAGCCUGAUCCAGCCAUGCCGCGUGUCUGAAGAAGGCCUUCGGGUUGUAAAGGACUUUUGUCAGGGAAGAAAAGGCUGUGCUAAAAUCGACAGCUGAUGACGGACCUGAAGA
rnacentral:rRNA from 1 species